AGACCUCUUACAUACACACGCAAUGGAAGUUUUGAGGACACCCCAUCCUGUCCCUUUGCUCUCUGUGGGUCUGGUCCCCACACCUCCCCACUUGUGAGCAACAACAGGAGACUUUCUGCUCGGUCAUUUCCGGAGAGGAAGGAGGGGCACAUCCUGAGGGAGCAGAGGGCCACUCCGGUUCCCACCCUCUCAGGUUGUGUCAGGCCGGUCCUCACGCAGAAUUCAACAGGGGGGCGGGGUGUGGGCAGAGGUGCAGGGGGACAGAGGGGAAGGAUGAAUGAUGCAUGGAAGACCAGGGUGUCAGCGGGGAAGAAAUUCUGAGACUAUGAAGAAGGAUUUGCAAGAAAAUGAGACAGGGGCCUGUUCCUCUCUGGGAGUCAGAGGAAGGAAGGAGUGUGGACAAAAGGACAGUGUUGACAGCUGGGUCAGGCAAGAAGAAGUGGAAACGGAGGAGAGGGGUCCAGCCAGCAUCCAGCUCUCCAAAUGGCAGUUGGAGUGGAAAUCAACUGUUGCCAAAACAGGAAGAAUGAAGGUGACUGUAGACCAAGAAUGAAGGCUCCAGACAGCAAAGGCCUUGCGCAUCUCUGCGGCUGCAUCCUCAGACCCUAGGCUGCCUGACUCAUCAAGGGAGGGCUCGACUCUGUUGAAUGGGCCGUCCAGAUGGACCUCCAGUUCUGAUUAAUACUCUAUUGCUAUGAAACAUAAAGUGAUGAUGCCCGAGUGUAGCAGCCUUUUCCGGUUGAUGAAACAUUGCAUGAGUCACAUUUUCUACAUACAAUGGCUUGGGCUGGGUUAUCCCCAUUUUUACAUAUGCGGAAACUGAGGCUCAGAGGACCUAUGGGAUUUGCCCCAGGUCACAGCACCAGUAAGCAGUGGAGCAGGGGCUCAAACAGACCCCAACUUCUAUUCCCUUUCCACAGUCAAUUCCCUCCUUUUCCUCUGACACUCUCAUCCAUGCAGAUGCCCACAGCAGGCGCAGGUGUGCACGAGGAUGAAAAACAUCCACCACGAGACCGAGGCCAGCCUGCGACUGUGCGUGAGGAGACGCAUGCAGCACUGCACGAGAGUGGCCUGUGAAGGGGACAAUUGUAUAAGUGUGGGGAGUCGGGGAGACGUCAACAUG
rnacentral:lncRNA from 1 species